CGUAGGUGGCAAGCGUUAUCCGGAAUUAUUGGGCGUAAAGAGCGCGCUGGUGGUUGAUUAAGUCUGAUGUGAAAGCCCACGGCUUAACCGUGGAGGGUCAUUGGAAACUGGUCGACUUGAGUGCAGAAGAGGGAAGUGGAAUUCCAUGUGUAGCGGUGAAAUGCGUAGAGAUAUGGAGGAACACCAGUGGCGAAGGCGGCUUCCUGGUCUGUAACUGACACUGAGGCGCGAAAGCGUGGGGAGCAAACAGGAUUAGAUA
rnacentral:rRNA from 1 species